rnacentral:rRNA from 1 species
UCCAGACUCCUACGGGAGGCAGCAGUGAGGAAUAUUGGUCAAUGGGCGCGAGCCUGAACCAGCCAAGUCGCGUGAGGGAUGACGGCCCUACGGGUUGUAAACCUCUUUUGUCGGGGAGCAAAUUCCGCCACGUGUGGCGGAGUCGAGAGUACCCGAAGAAAAAGCAUCGGCUAACUCCGUGCCAGCAGCCGCGGUAAUACGUAGGGGGCAAGCGUUAUCCGGAUUUACUGGGUGUAAAGGGAGCGUAGACGGCAGUGCAAGUCUGGAGUGAAAGGCGGGGGCUCAACCCCCGGACUGCUCUGGAAACUGUACGGCUGGAGUGCAGGAGAGGUAAGUGGAAUUCCUAGUGUAGCGGUGAAAUGCGUAGAUAUUAGGAGGAACACCAGUGGCGAAGGCGGCUUACUGGACUGUAACUGACGUUGAGGCUCGAAAGCGUGGGGAGCAAACAGGAUUAGAUACCCCCGUAAA